ACACAAGAGAGAAAUCUGGCUGUGACAUCUGUUACCCCACGGUCACCAGGGUUAAUUUAGCAGAUCUAGCUGGCUAGCUGGGUGUCCUUUUUCCCACUUCUCUAUAUGCAUCCCUCCUGAAGCUGUGUGAUCAAAGAGGGUGGCCCACCCUUGUUCUUUAGUCAAGGAUAUGCAAGUAGGUGUGCUUCCCUGCUAGAACUUCCAAACAAGCUCUCAAAGUUGCUGCUGGCAUAAGCAUAUGGGAACAGCAAAAAUAAUAAUGGAUCUUCCUGCCA
rfam:Ictidomys tridecemlineatus contig109297, whole genome shotgun sequence.